GACGAACGCUGGCGGCGUGCCUAAUACAUGCAAGUAGAACGCUGAAGGAGGAGCUUGCUUCUCUGGAUGAGUUGCGAACGGGUGAGUAACGCGUAGGUAACCUGCCUGGUAGCGGGGGAUAACUAUUGGAAACGAUAGCUAAUACCGCAUAAUAGUAGAUGUUGCAUGACAUUUGCUUAAAAGGUGCAAUUGCAUCACUACCAGAUGGACCUGCGUUGUAUUAGCUAGUUGGUGGGGUAACGGCUCACCAAGGCGACGAUACAUAGCCGACCUGAGAGGGGGAUCGGCCACACUGGGACUGAGACACGGCCCAGACUCCUACGGGAGGCAGCAGUAGGGAAUCUUCGGCAAUAGACGGAAGUCUGACCGAGCAACGCCGCGUGAGUGAAGAAGGUUGUCGGAUCGUAAAGCUCUGUUGUAAGAGAAGAACGAGUGUGAGAGUGGAAAGUUCACACUGUGACGGUAGCUUACCAGAAAGGGACGGCUAACUACGUG
rnacentral:rRNA from 1 species